AAAGAAGAAACAAAAUGUUUUCGAAAAAAAAAGAAAAAAGAGCGGAAAGAUAUAGAAGAGGUUCCUCGGUUUCUCGUUUCUGCUUUCUCUUCUCGUUCACUUCUUCUUCGUUUUGCUUCCA
rnacentral:ribozyme from 1 species